CGAGUCAUAUGUUCUUCGUGAAAUGGCGUACUGCUCAGUAACACGUGGAUAACCUGCCCUUGGGUCCGGCAUAACCCCGGGAAACUGGGGAUAAUUCCGGAUAACGCACAUAUGCUGGAAUGCUUUAUGCGUCAAAUGGAUUCGUCCGCCUAAGGAUGGGUCUGCGGCCUAUCAGGUAGUAGUGGGUGUAAUGUACCUACUAGCCGACGACGGGUACGGGUUGUGAGAGCAAGAGCCCGGAGAUGGAUUCUGAGACAUGAAUCCGGGCC
rnacentral:rRNA from 1 species